UACGUAGGGGGCAAGCGUUGUCCGGAAUCAUUGGGCGUAAAGCGCGUGUAGGCGGUCCGGUAAGUCCGCUGUGAAAGUCGGGGGGCUCAACCCUCGGAUGCCGGUGGAUACUGUCGGGCUUGAGUACGGAAGAGGCGAGUGGAAUUCCUGGUGUAGCGGUGAAAUGCGCAGAUAUUAGGAAGAACACCAGUGGCGAAGGCGGCUCACUGGCCCGGUACUGACGCUGAGGAGCGAAAGCGUGGGUAGCAAACAGG
rnacentral:rRNA from 1 species